GUAGCAAUACAUCGCCGGCGACCGGCGCACGGGUGCGUAACACGUAUGGAAUCUGCCCUUUACUGGGGGAUAGCCCGGAGAAAUCCGGAUUAAUACCCCAUAACAAUCGAGGUGGCAUCACCUUGAUUUGAAAGCUCCGGCGGUAAAGGAUGACCAUGCGCACGAUUAGCUAGUUGGUGAGGUAACGGCUCACCAAGGCUACGAUCGUUAGGGGGCCUGAGAGGGUUAUCCCCCACACUGGUACUGAGACACGGACCAGACUCCUACGGGAGGCAGCAGUGAGGAAUAUUGCGCAAUGGAGGCAACUCUGACGCAGCCAUGCCGCGUGCAGGAAGAAGGCGCUACGCGUUGUAAACUGCUUUUAACCGGGAAGAAACCCCAGGACGUGUCCUGGGUUGACGGUACCGGAGGAAUAAGCACCGGCUAACUUCGUGCCAGCAGCCGCGGUAAUACGAAGGGUGCAAGCGUUAUCCGGAUUCAUUGGGUUUAAAGGGUGCGUAGGCGGAGCGUUAAGUCAGUGGUGAAAUCCUGCAGCUUAACUGUAGACUUGCCAUUGAUACUGGCGCUCUUGAGUGCGCUUGAAGUAGGCGGAAUGUGUCGUGUAGCGGUGAAAUGCUUAGAUAUGACACAGAACACCGAUUGCGAAGGCAGCUUACUAAGGCGAUACUGACGCUGAGGCACGAAAGCGUGGGGAUCGAACAGGAUUAGAUACCCUGGUAGUCCACGCCGUAAACGAUGAUCACUCGUCAUUGGCGAUAUACGGUCAGUGACCUAGCGAAAGCGUUAAGUGAUCCACCUGGGGAGUACGAUCGCAAGANUGAAACUCNAAGGAAUUGACGGGGGCCCGCACAAGCGGUGGANCAUGUGGUUUAAUUCNAUGAUACGCGAGGAANNUUACCAGGGCUCGAACGCACGUGGNCAGU
rnacentral:rRNA from 1 species